AAAGCAAACCCUAGUAUUAACUUAUGAAAUUUCCUAUUAAAGGAGAAUGGAUAGCCAUAAUUUGUGGUCAACUCCAACCACUGAGAACAGGAGCUUGUUGGCUAUUCUUCUAUCAACAUAGUUAAGAAAAUCUAACAGAUUCCCAGCCUUAACACUUGCAGAGUAUGGAGCCAUCAGAAAGCUUAUUUGCCAGUCUACCUUUUUAAGUUCCAUUCCACAAAAGAAGUGAAUAGCUAGGUCCAAGGAAUCCUGUGUGAAUAGCUCAUGAACAACUAAACUGCUCACCCCCUCCUCAUGGCAUCUACUCAGCAUAGUUUGCCCAUCAGCAGCCAUGAGUGCCGGGUCUCUGUCAACUACUUUCAGAACCCAUUCCUAGCAAAAGGUGAAACCUGGAGGCAUUUUUGGAUUAGUCCCUGGAAUCCCACACCUGACACUAUUGGGAAUGCCACAGAAAAGCCUUAAUAACUCUUGCAGCUGGGACUGGGUCCUAGAUAGCAUAACCUGCCAGGUCACCUGAAUUUUCAUUUCCCAAAAUGGACUGAGGAGGGAACAAGACAAAGAAAUAACAAGGCAGGAUGCUUCUUGAAUCACAGUAGCCAAGAUCUUACAAGCCAUCUAAAAAGAGUAGCACAAGGCACAAGAUGUGUGCUAUUGCUUCUGGAAAGACCACUAAAAUAGGCCAAUGAAUAAAGAUGAGACAAGACAUGAAAAUGAGACUUUGAUGCAUGAAACGAAGCUAUUAAGAAACUAAAAGAUGGGCAGCAAGUGAAAAGAAUGGCUUCGUGUUAGAAACGAGGAUUGGAGAAAAACAAGAGAAUUUACCAGUGAAGAAAGUUAGAAGCAAAAUGGGCCUAUUGAAGGUGACUCUUUAAUGAUUACAACACCAGAGUUGGUUGUUUUGUUCUAAGUCGCUUUCUUCAUGUUGCAAAAUAGGAAUAGAAAGAUUUGAACAGAUAUUGGAAUAAUAAAGUUCUGAGGAAAAAGGGGAACAUUAAAGAUUCUGAGACUAAUAGAGAAAAAAGGGAUCUUUUUUUUUCCAAAACAGAAUUUGGUGAUCAUGUAACCAAUUCAUGAAAACAUUCAAAUGUAUGAACCUCAGAAAGGCAGAAAAAUGCACAAAGGACUGAUGCUCCUGCAAAGGAUUUUUAAGUUAAAAGGGGAUGGAAAUUGACAAAUGACAUGAGAGGAUCAUGGAGGAAGUAGAGAAAGCUUUCUCAGCAAUGGCAGUUCUCAGAAAAGAAUGACACCACCUAGUAUGGGGAAGAGGAAGCGAGGAAGCAGCUUGCUCAAGAAAUCAAUGUGAAUCACCGAGUGAGCCUCUUCCCUCCUAAGAAAGUCUCAGCUCCCAAUGAAGUAAUGAGAGAAGAGGCAAAGAAAACCCAAGAAUCUGGGGAAGAGCUGAGAAAUACUUGACAAGAGAGAGAUAGAGUAGAUGGGGAAAAGUCUCCCCAUGUGCCAGACUGGUGAGUCCCAACGUCGGAGGCCCAGCGUUUCUCCUCGGAGGUUCUCGAGAGUCCGAGGGCAUCACCGCUCGUGUUACGGCCGGAGGUUCUCUAUUUGAGGCAAUGUGGGAUAACUGAUGGAGGGCUAGCCUUGGAGUUAAAAAGACCUGGUUCCAGUCUGGCCUCUGAAAUACACUGGCUGAAACAGUGUACAAGGCAUUCCCCCUCACAGUACUUCAGACAGUCCUUCUACAUACACUGUAAGACUGCUGAUCUACAACUGGGAAGGAAGUUUCAAACAUUAAGAUCACAAGUUCAAUCUGAAAAGGGGAGGAAAAAUGUUCUCCUUAAAGCAUCAUCAAAGGAAAACAGAAGCCGUUCCACACAAAGGUCACUGAAGACAGUGAAGAUGUUUCGCUUGAAGAAGACACUCUUAGGCGAGACAGAACUGUCUCGAAUGCCUCAAGUAUGUCCAUGUUGAAGAGAGAUGGGAGAGGAAAAGGCCACCCCAUGAAAGACUCCAAAAGACAAAUGGAAGAUUUCCUAUUUGAUCCUCAAAAACAAUUAUGAUUUGUAUUUCCAGAACUAAUAAUACACUUGCGGCCCAAAAAAUUUCAGUUUCUCCUUGUUCUCUACAGAAUAAAGUCUAAGCAGCUUCUUAGGCUGAAAUGCACAGUCCCCUCUACGACCCAGCCACCUUCUAGACUUUUUCAUGUGACCGUCUCCUCACUAAGGCAGUACUCUCCAUUCGCUGUAAUACAUUCCAUGCCUUUCUAUUUCUGAUCCGGGAUUACCGCUGUCCUUCAUACUUAAGAGCAUCUUCCUUCCCCCUCUUAAUCAAGCCUUCAAAGGCCAGCUCUCAUGACACCUUCAGUAAGAAUGAAACAAUAGGGAAUUCAGAAAUACCAGCAAAUGUCUAUGAGAUUAA